rnacentral:lncRNA from 1 species
GCCCCUUGCUGGCUUCAGCCUCUUCCCAGCCUGCCACCCUCCCUGGGUGCUCUCCGGGUCCCCAGGCGCCAGUGUCUCCCAUGCUGCCUCCAGCUGCCCCCUGCCUCCUGAGCUGCCAACUGGGGUGCCUCACAAGUGACCACCUCCUAGAAGUGGCUUCCUCAACACCUUGCCACCCUCGACACUGUCACUGUCACCUGUGCCCUGGCAGGCCGCCUGCUCCCCAAGUACCUCCCCACUGCACUCCCCUGCCCCUCUCAGCCCUUCUUGCAAAGUGCCUCU